UCGCUCCGGGACGAUCACACUUUUUCACAGCUCAGAUUGGCACGUUGGUGAACUUAUUAGCUUAGAUUUCACGUUAUUCAUGCCUACAUGAGCUGCAUACAACUGCUCUAAUCGGUAGGAUGUGGACGGACAUUGCAUUCAUUCCCAUUCAGCCGUUGGACUGAACCGGUACUGUAACACAGUAUGGAUGGUCAAUAUGAAACGAGCUUCAUUGAAUUCCUCCAAGAGCUCUGUACUCCGUUUUGCUCAUUUUGAAGAUGGUUGCUUUGACAGGACUGGGCAAGUGACUCGUCUUAGACAGGAUGCUGUCCCAACCAUAUUUGAUUUCCUGCCUCGUCUUCAGAAGAUUCCCAUUCAGCCGUUGGACUGAACCGGUACUGUAACACAGUAUGGAUGGUCAAUAUGAAGCGAGCUUCAUUGAAUUCCUCCAAGAGCUUUGUACUCCGUUUUGCUCAUUUUGAAGAUGGUAGCUUUGACAGGACUGGGCAAGUGACUCGUCUUAGACAGGAUGCUGUCCCAACCAUAUUUGAUUUCCUGCCUCGUCUUCAGAAGAAUUCACCCAAGCCAAGGAAUUCCCCGAAAGAAAGACGUUUUGAUUCAGCAAACAACCUCCCAGAUACUGCAAAGUCUUCAGCACCUUCAUUUCUCGAGGACCACUCCUACUCAAUAUCAGAAAGUCCAAGAGGGGUAAAGUGGAAGAUAACAGAAGAGGCUGAAACCACACAGCAGAAGUCCCGCCGUGUACAUUACUUGCUCUUAAGUUUGGACAAACAUGACUCGCAAAACUUUACAACAAAUAAUUUACGCUAUGUGCAUUCUGAUUAUUUAAAAUAGCUCAAUGAAAAAGUUUACCACUGGGCAUGUAACAAAAGUGCAUUCAUUAAAUUUGAACGUGUUGCAAAAA